UACAGAGGUCUCAAGCGUUGUUCGGAUUCAUUGGGCGUAAAGCGCACGUAGGCGGCUUUGUAAGUUAGAGGUGAAAGCCCAGGGCUCAACCCUGGAAUUGCCUUUAAGACUGCAUCGCUUGAACAUCGGAGAGGUAAGUGGAAUUCCUAGUGUAGAGGUGAAAUUCGUAGAUAUUAGGAAGAACACCAGUGGCGAAGGCGGCUCACUGGCCCGGUACUGACGCUGAGGCGCGAAAGCGUGGGGAGCAAACAGG
rnacentral:rRNA from 1 species